rnacentral:lncRNA from 1 species
UCUCUCCACCCAGAGUUAAACAAGCUGGUCCUCAUAGCCACCAUCCAAGAUUCCAAGUUUCAACUGCCCCAUCUCAGGUGUGAUGUCUGUGGAAUAUUGAGCCUGACACAUUGAGCCUCCAAACCCAAACUUGAAGAAUGAUGAUGGCUAUCACAGGAAAUUACAUUCUAAAUGGAACAUGAUACAGAGGAAUUUAAGUCUGUCUCGCUGUCUUGACACAUAGAUGCCACCAGUAUCUCCUUCAGAAAAUGUGCACUUCUAGGCUCUAAGCUUUAUGAGGGCAAGCACCACAUCUGCGCCAUCGUGACUU